rnacentral:lncRNA from 1 species
UAUAGUUUAGGUUGGUUUAUAGUUGAAAGAGCCAUGUGGUAAGUAAGACUUAGGAAUCUGGUCGGCAACCAAUGCAUAUGUCAUUAAACUACAUACAAAUUUCUUUCUUUUUAAAAAGGCAUCCCAUUUAACUAAUAAGAUAGAAGUAGAACUAUACCAUAUUUUUUAAUUUUUUUUUUUUACAAAGAGAUCAAUACCUUUUUCUCAUAAAGAAAAAAUGUAUUAAUCAAAUAUAAUUAAAUAUCCACCUCAUAUUAUUCAAAUACAUAUACUAGUAUAUCUAGUAUACUAGUGCAAAUAGCAUGAUAGAUCCACAAAACAAAACCAAAUUAACUACUCCGGUUAUAGUUAUUUAAUACUCGAAUUAAAACUUAAACUUAGAUAUAGGGAGCCUUAUAAACCAAAGUAUAUGGUUGAUGAAAGAAAUUAGAAAAGUGGUAUGCCAAAGGAUUGGAGUUGCCCUGAGGUGUGUAGGGUGAUAAUUAAUAAUUGUAAUUUAAUUAUUAAUCUCAUUACUACCACCAUAAUCUCCAAAUUAAUUAGUAACAUGUGAAUGAUCUUCUCUUCCAUCAUCACCUUCAUGAUCAACAUCUCUCAUCAUCUUCUUCAGCCAUAAAAUAACUAACAUGGGUGGUGUGGAAAGCAUUUUUGGUGGUGCAAAGAGAGAAAAAUUAACUAUACUCGAUGGAACUAUAUGUUGGAGUGUUGUAGCAUAGUAAUAAGAAGGGUUUAUAAAGAGAAAAGAAAAGAGAAAAAGGGUUAAAUUGUAAGUGAGAU